AAUAUUAUUAGAGCAGGCAAAUUUAAAUCUUAACAACUGGAUUUUCUCACUGCCAUGAAGUCAUCUGAGAUGCUUGACAAUUUACCUAAACCCAGAAUGUCCAUCAUUUUCUAGCUACCCAAUCUGAAACUGCUGCAGGUGAUUUAGAUGCACAACACUAUCAUGCACCAGGCUGCUGCCAGCACUUCAUCAGCCCCCCUUUGCUCUGCAGAAAAAAGCAAGUGCUGGAGAGAAAUAUUUUUGGAAAGGGGAAAACUUUAUUUGAGGCUUGCUCGGUAACCAGAAACGUGUAUCACGAGCACACAUCCUUGCAUCUCUUGGCAUCAGACCACUGAGAGGCCCUGCAGCGAUUCUCUGGCUGGCCUGUGCUCCUCACCAAGAAAGAGGCUGUCUCCCCAAGGCUUGUCCACACCCCACGCAUAUCACAGAGAAGAUGCACGUCUCAGCAGUGACCUCUAGUUCAAGAGAGGAAGGUAAAUCCUCAUGACAAAGAUGAAAAAGCUCUCCAGGAGAAGAUCAAAAGCUGAAGAGGAUGCAGGGGAGGGAACAUGGAUGAAACCUGGUUACCUCCAAAAGCAUACCAGACUGUGGCAGCAAAUGUAGCAUGAAAGCAAAGCACAAGACUAAGGUCUGUAACAACAGUGCCAGGGCGGUUUACAUGGGACAACUAAAGAAAAAGGGAGAACAGUGAUUGAAGAGACAUGACCAAAAAGGAGAAGAGUAGGGCACUGAACACUGCUACUGGGAACAUGGACUUCAGAGGGAGUAACAAAUCUUUCUUUACAGGCACAUAAAAUCACCAAACCACAUAAUUAUUCAUUUGUCUAGUAGCCUAGGAAAUAUUAAUACUCAAAGAGUAAACACCACUGUUUAAUCCAUUCGAAAUAAAAAAACAA